rnacentral:rRNA from 1 species
GGGACACGUGGUAUCCUGUCUGAAUAUGGGGGGACCAUCCUCCAAGGCUAAAUACUCCUGACUGACCGAUAGUGAACCAGUACCGUGAGGGAAAGGCGAAAAGAACCCCGGCGAGGGGAGUGAAAAAGAACCUGAAACCGUGUACGUACAAGCAGUGGGAGCCUCUUAAUGGGGUGACUGCGUACCUUUUGUAUAAUGGGUCAGCGACUUAUAUUCUGUAGCAAGGUUAACCGAAUAGGGGAGCCGAAGGGAAACCGAGUCUUAACUGGGCGUUAAGUUGCAGGGUAUAGACCCGAAACCCGGUGAUCUAGCCAUGGGCAGGUUGAAGGUUGGGUAACACUAACUGGAGGACCGAACCGACUAAUGUUGAAAAAUUAGCGGAUGACUUGUGGCUGGGGGUGAAAGGCCAAUCAAACCGGGAGAUAGCUGGUUCUCCCCGAAAGCUAUUUAGGUAGCGCCUCGUGAAUUCAUCUCCGGGGGUAGAGCACUGUUUCGGCAAGGGGGUCAUCCCGACUUACCAACCCGAUGCAAACUGCGAAUACCGGAGAAUGUUAUCACGGGAGACACACGGCGGGUGCUAACGUCCGUCGUGAAGAGGGAAACAACCCAGACCGCCAGCUAAGGUCCCAAAGUCAUGGUUAAGUGGGAAACGAUGUGGGAAGGCCCAGACAGCCAGGAUGUUGGCUUAGAAGCAGCCAUCAUUUAAAGAAAGCGUAAUAGCUCACUGGUCGAGUCGGCCUGCGCGGAAGAUGUAACGGGGCUAAACCAUGCACCGAAGCUGCGGCAGCGACACUAUGUGUUGUUGGGUAGGGGAGCGUUCUGUAAGCCUGUGAAGGUGGCCUGUGAGGGUUGCUGGAGGUAUCAGAAGUGCGAAUGCUGACAUAAGUAACGAUAAAGCGGGUGAAAAGCCCGCUCGCCGGAAGACCAAGGGUUCCUGUCCAACGUUAAUCGGGGCAGGGUGAGUCGACCCCUAAGGCGAGGCCGAAAGGCGUAGUCGAUGGGAAACAGGUUAAUAUUCCUGUACUUGGUGUUACUGCGAAGGGGGGACGGAGAAGGCUAUGUUGGCCGGGCGACGGUUGUCCCGGUUUAAGCGUGUAGGCUGGUUUUCCAGGCAAAUCCGGAAAACCAAGGCUGAGGCGUGAUGACGAGGCACUACGGUGCUGAAGUGACAAAUGCCCUGCUUCCAGGAAAAGCCUCUAAGCAUCAGGUAACAUCAAAUCGUACCCCAAACCGACACAGGUGGUCAGGUAGAGAAUACCAAGGCGCUUGAGAGAACUCGGGUGAAGGAACUAGGCAAAAUGGUGCCGUAACUUCGGGAGAAGGCACGCUGAUAUGUAGGUGAAGCGACUUGCUCGUGGAGCUGAAAUCAGUCGAAGAUACCAGCUGGCUGCAACUGUUUAUUAAAAACACAGCACUGUGCAAACACGAAAGUGGACGUAUACGGUGUGACGCCUGCCCGGUGCCGGAAGGUUAAUUGAUGGGGUUAGCGGUAACGCGAAGCUCUUGAUCGAAGCCCCGGUAAACGGCGGCCGUAACUAUAACGGUCCUAAGGUAGCGAAAUUCCUUGUCGGGUAAGUUCCGACCUGCACGAAUGGCGUAAUGAUGGCCAGGCUGUCUCCACCCGAGACUCAGUGAAAUUGAACUCGCUGUGAAGAUGCAGUGUACCCGCGGCAAGACGGAAAGACCCCGUGAACCUUUACUAUAGCUUGACACUGAACAUUGAGCCUUGAUGUGUAGGAUAGGUGGGAGGCUUUGAAGUGUGGACGCCAGUCUGCAUGGAGCCGACCUUGAAAUACCACCCUUUAAUGUUUGAUGUUCUAACGUUGGCCCCUAAUCGGGGUUGCGGACAGUGUCUGGUGGGUAGUUUGACUGGGGCGGUCUCCUCCUAAAGAGUAACGGAGGAGCACGAAGGUUGGCUAAUCCUGGUCGGACAUCAGGAGGUUAGUGCAAUGGCAUAAGCCAGCUUGACUGCGAGCGUGACGGCGCGAGCAGGUGCGAAAGCAGGUCAUAGUGAUCCGGUGGUUCUGAAUGGAAGGGCCAUCGCUCAACGGAUAAAAGGUACUCCGGGGAUAACAGGCUGAUACCGCCCAAGAGUUCAUAUCGACGGCGGUGUUUGGCACCUCGAUGUCGGCUCAUCACAUCCUGGGGCUGAAGUAGGUCCCAAGGGUAUGGCUGUUCGCCAUUUAAAGUGGUACGCGAGCUGGGUUUAGAACGUCGUGAGACAGUUCGGUCCCUAUCUGCCGUGGGCGCUGGAGAACUGAGGGGGGCUGCUCCUAGU